rnacentral:rRNA from 1 species
ACGCUCGACACCUACGGGUGGCAGCAGUGGGGAAUAUUGCACAAUGGGGGAAACCCUGAUGCAGCGACGCCGCGUGGAGGAAGAAGGUCUUCGGAUUGUAAACUCCUGUUGUUGGGGAAAAANGGAUGGUACCCAACAAGGAAGUGACGGCUAACUACGCGCCAGCAGCCGCGGUAAUCUGAGCGGGCUGGCGAAGGC